AUUAAAGGAACGUCACGACAAGGGGAGUUCAAUGCACUGCACGAUCCAGGAGACUUCAUAUGCGAUCCGUUACUGGACUCUAUAGCAAUGCGAGAGGUAUCAUCAAGGACAAUCCAGUUGCCGAAAAACUUUUGAUGACAGAUCUUGUUCGAUGACCACCAAAAGAGUUGCUAGUGGAAUAUUUUGAUGAACUCAUAGUAUUUGGUGAAGGCGGUAAAGUUGGGCACAAGUUUGCAGAUACAGAAUAAACUGAAUGAUGGGAGGAAGAUUAAAAUCAAUUAAUUCAUGUUUACUAAUAAAUUGAUAGUAUUCAAAAUAUGCAAAUAAUGGAAGAAUUGAUGUAAAUAAUGUAUAUAUGAAAACCAUGUCAUAAUUCAAUGAAAAAGAUAAAUCGGCUUUUAAGAAAUUUAUAAUAUUUAUAUUUGUGCAUCCAUAAACAAAAUUGAAUCCGUU